rnacentral:rRNA from 1 species
GACGUAGGGCGCGAGCGUUGUCCGGAUUUAUUGGGCGUAAAGAGCUCGUAGGCGGCUUGUUGCGUCGGCUGUGAAAACCCGUGGCUUAACUGCGGGCUUGCAGCUGAUACGGGCGGGCUGGAGUUCGGUAGGGGAGACUGGAAUUCCUGGUGUAGCGGUGAAAUGCGCAGAUAUCAGGAAGAACACCCGUGGCGAAGGCGGUUCUCUGGGACGGUACUGACGCUGAGACGCGAAAGCGUGGGGAGCGAACAGG